ACCUCUCGGGGUUACAGCCUUGCUGAAUUAUUCACCCUUGUCUUUUGCGUACUUCUUGUUUCCUUGGUGGGUUCGCCCACCACUAGGACAAACAUAAACCUUUUGUAAUUGCAAUCAGCGUCAGUAACAAAUUAAUAAUUACAACUUUCAACAACGGAUCUCUUGGUUCUGGCAUCGAUGAAGAACGCAGCGAAAUGCGAUAAGUAGUGUGAAUUGCAGAAUUCAGUGAAUCAUCGAAUCUUUGAACGCACAUUGCGCCCUUUGGUAUUCCAAAGGGCAUGCCUGUUCGAGCGUCAUUUGUACCCUCAAGCUUUGCUUGGUGUUGGGCGUCUUGUCUCUAGCUUUGCUGGAGACUCGCCUUAAAGUAAUUGGCAGCCGGCCUACUGGUUUCGGAGCGCAGCACAAGUCGCACUCUCUAUCAGCAAAGGUCUAGCAUCCAUUAAGCCUUUUUUUCAACUUUUGACCUCGGAUCAGGUAGGGAUACCCGCUGAACUUAAGCAUAUCAAUAAG
rnacentral:rRNA from 1 species